rnacentral:lncRNA from 1 species
UCAACUAAGGAACCACCAGACAAAUUGAAAUCAAGGUGGUCAGGACCCAUGGAUAAGGGUGAGCCUAGCUCUCCCCAGGCUGAUGUAGGAGUAGGUUCUAGUUCAAGUUCCACUAUAGAGGAGAGAUUAGAGUAGUUUAGUAUGGGACAAGAAAGAAUUGAAGAAUGCCAAAGGCAAAUGGUACACUAUAUGAUGGCGUACUUUCAGCAAAUAGGAUUUCAGCCCUCACUAUACACAUCUUUAG